rnacentral:rRNA from 1 species
UACGUAGGGGGCAAGCGUUGUCCGGAAUUAUUGGGCGUAAAGCGCGCGCAGGCGGCCUUUUAAGUCUGAUGUGAAAGCCCACGGCUCAACCGUGGAAGGUCAUUGGAAACUGAGAGGCUUGAGUACAGAAGAGGAAAGCGGAAUUCCACGUGUAGCGGUGAAAUGCGUAGAGAUGUGGAGGAACACCAGUGGCGAAGGCGGCUUUCUGGUCUGUAACUGACGCUGAGGCGCGAAAGCGUGGGGAGCAAACAGG